UUUCGUAAUCACUUCACCAUGUACUGACAACGUGAGAUCUGAGCCCAAAUGAAGCACCUACAGAAUAUGAAAACUGUGAUUAAAAUCAUGGUCAUUGUUUUGCACUGUAGAGGUUCCUCAUCUGACAAGACAAAGAAGCUCAGCGUCUUAAUCGGUGCAGACGUGACUCUUAGCUGCCUGUUUGAUAAAUUUUCCAAGCUAGUGGAGUGGAGCACUCUCACCAUUGAGUGGAACAUGGUGGAUAAACGUGCAGAGAAGAGCAUUGUGUACACUUUUGAGGAUGGCAGAGCACAUGUGAACAGAAAUGGCUCCGUGGUGGAUAAAAUGCAGUUGCUAGAAAGUGAUGCAUCUCUGCAGCUUGGUAAUGUGACUGUGGGGGAUGAAGGGCUGUACACCUGCAGAAUCAUCACACCUGUGGUCCACACAGAGACCACCUCACUGGAAGUGCUAGCUCAGCCUUUAGUGUCACUACCAGAGAAGGCAGCAGUGACAGAAGGGGAGGAGAAGACUAUACAGUGUGACAUCAAAGGUUUCUAUCCAGAGAAACUGGCCGUGUCGUGGCUCAUUCAAAAUGGCUCCCACACUGUCCACGCAGGUGCAAGCCACCUCUCCCGAGUCUGCACUGAAAUGGCCAUUCACAAUCCAGAUGGCACCUACAGUAUCCGCAGUGGCAUCACACUGCACUCCUCAGCAGUGAAGGAUGGAGAGAUGCACAUCAUCUGUCAGGUGGAGCACCAGACCUACGGCCGGCCGCACAACAAGUCUGUCACACUGACUGUUCAGGCUCCAUCACAGCCCCUUUACAGUGCUGUCACACUGAUAGCUGUCACCAGUGUCAUCAGUCUGCUGCUGGUUAUCACUGUUAUUGGAGGCACUCUGCUUCUCUACAGAUAUUUUGGCAAAGCUCCACCAAGUGUUUCUGAAAUCAGCAAACCCAGCAUCAUAUAUGCUCAGGUGCAGACAGACCUCAAAUGCACCAUCCAAGGAGCAAGACUGCAGGAGCUCAAGGUGAAAUGGUUCAAAUUAAGAAGCUUCGCAGACUCAGUGGUCCAGUCAGAAUGUGAUUCUCUGUUGCUCAGUGAGGAUCUGAGUGAACAGGCUUGUCUCCAGUCAGAUGGCAGACACCACACAUCUGUCCUGACUGUGUGUCUGAGCGUCACUGAAGACCUGACUGAAUACCAGUGUGUGGUGCUGUGCAGGGGCAAGUGCAUCAAAAGAAACACCACAGUCCCAGUAAAAGUGGAGCCGUCUUUCAUCCAGAUCUCCAGCAUUCCUCAGAUCCCCAAGGUGGAGAGGCUGCUGGUUCUCUGCUGUCGGGUGGAGAACUUCUACCCUCAGGACAUCGACCUGGAGUGGUCCAGGAAUGACGGGGAGCAAGUUGGCACUGUCACACACUUUGGACCUUUCUCUGACCACAACCGCCUCUACAGCAUGUGGAGUAAGAUUCAGCUGGUCAUGGCCAGAGAGGACGAGAGGGCUGUCUACACCUGCCGAGUUUACCACUCCAGCUUCCCUGCUCCAGGUUACAAAGAUGUCCUGUAUCACAUCAACACUCAAGGAACUCCUCCUAAUGUGAUGUUCAUCGACUGUGAACCACUGUGUCCUCUGAUGAAUGAAGAGUGUACACUGCACCUGUGUAUCAAAGACUUCUGUCCUGAGGACGUGUCAGUGACUUGGACUAAAGAUGGAGAGACGGUUCUGUCCGGUGUCUUUAACACUCCCCCGAGCCUGAACAUCAAUGGCCUCUACUCCAUGUUCAGUUUCCUCAAACUCACCCCCAGCAAGAAGGACCAGGGCUCCAAGUUCAGGUGCCAAGUGGUUCACAGCGCCCAGAGGGAGCCUGAGGAGAGACUCUUCACACUUCCUGCUGCAACACACAACCUACAUGUGAUAGACAGCUGCUGAUGUCCUCACUGUGUAAACUCUUACAUUUCAAGCUACAGUAGUUUGAUUUGUGAAAGUUGGGAUACAGAUCGGAAGAGAGAAAACAGGUAUUGGGACUGAUGGUGGGCCCUCUUAAAACAGUAUGUGGUUACUGCCUUUCAUUGGUAUGAUCCAAGCAGCAACCACCAGGGCUAAAAAAUCAAGCCAACAUGGAAGUGCCACAAAUUGCAGUUCUCUGAAUGGACACUUGAGGCUGGCUCCAGAAGAAGUCCCCACAGAAAUAAACAUGUUUACAGCCCAGAAAAACUGCUCUGGCUUCCACAGCUACUCUUAACAUUCAUGACAACUGUACAGAGCAUUUAAAAAACCCUACUUGUUCACCAUUUAAUAAAGGCUUCAAGUUACACAUAA